GUCAUAUGACAUGCCACCUUGGAAAGCAGAGAACCACAGAUAUCAGAGGCUCAGUCCAUUAUCAUCAUGCCAAGAAGCAUGGCAGUGUCCUGGUGCAGAAGAAAGAGCCAAGAAUUCUCCAUCUUGAACUGAAGGCACAGACAGGAAGAAUGUCUCUUCCACACUGGGAGGAGCUUGAGCACCAGCAGCCCUCAAAGCCUGCCUACACAAUGAUAUACUUCUUCCAACAAGACAGAUCUGAGAGGCUUUACCCAUCAGCUGACUGAGACAGAUGCAGAUACCCACAAAAACGGAACAGAGGUUGGAGAACCCUAUGGAUGAUUUAGGGGAAGAAUUGAAGGCCCUCAGUGAGGUGGUAGUCCCAUGGGAAGAUCAACAGUGUCAACUAACCUGGACCUUUGGGAUCUCCCAAAGACAGCACAAAGCUCCCAAAGGCAGCUCCAAUCAAAAAAGCACAUACAGGCUGAUCUGAGGCCCUUGGCACAUAUGCAGCAAAGGGCUACUAUGUCUGGCCUCAGUGGGAGAGAAAAUGUCUAAUCUUGUAGAGACUUGAUGCCCGAGGGUGGGGCCUGAAAAGGGAGGGCUGCUCUCUCAGAGAUGUGGGGGAG
rnacentral:lncRNA from 1 species